rnacentral:rRNA from 1 species
GGAUUAGAUACCCUGGUAGUCCUAGCUGUAAACGAUGGAUACUAGACGUAGGAAUUGGAUUAACGAUUUCUGUGUCGUAGCUAACGCGUUAAGUAUCCCGCCUGGGGAGUACGGUCGCAAGACUAAAACUCAAAGGAAUUGACGGGACCCCGCACAAGCGGCGGAGCAUGCGGCUUAAUUCGAUGAUACCCGUAGAACCUUACCAGGUCUUGACAUCCUGAUUUUGGUUGUUAGAAAUAACUUCCUUCAGUUCGGCUGGAUCAGUGACAGGUGCUGCAUGGCCGUCGUCAGCUCGUGCUG